UUGAGCAUGAUUGUGGACAUUUUUCCUACCCAAGCCAAUAAGAAAAUCACAUAUGAAAACCCACCUCCUCAUUUGUAUAGCAUAUCCACAAUCAGAUAUGAAAUUUAUCAAACCAAACCCCUAUUCCUUUAGAAUUGCCGAAGCCUUCAAUUCCUCUCCCUCACCAUGAACAAAACCUACGGCCACCAUCAAAGCUCCACCAUCCGGCCACCGUUUGUAUGAUUUUAGCUUGAUUGUAUAGCUAACAUCUAAUGGAUUAAGAUACGACGGAAUACCGAGAUACGAGCUUGGCGAAUCAAGGGAGCUUGACAAGAAUCGACGUUAUCUUAUUUAUGUUGGAUUGGAUAGCGGUCACUGUAGUCAGAGUCGGAUCAGACAAACCAUCUUCAUUGUGCCAGAAGUCGUCGGGCUUGCACAAGUAUGCGUUUCUGAAGCUGCAGUAGUUAGUAGGUAUCAGUUUAGGAUUAGUAAAUUGAUUUCAAAUAGUUGUUUUGAAUGUAAACUCUAAUAUAAUAUUUUAAUAUUUAUAAGUAUAUUACUUAAAAGAGUUUUUCCGAAAAUGUUUCA